rnacentral:rRNA from 1 species
GAUGAACGCUGGCGGCGUGCCUAAUACAUGCAAGUCGAGCGAACAGACGAGGAGCUUGCUCCUCUGACGUUAGCGGCGGACGGGUGAGUAACACGUGGAUAACCUACCUAUAAGACUGGGAUAACUUCGGGAAACCGGAGCUAAUACCGGAUAAUAUAUUGAACCGCAUGGUUCAAUAGUGAAAGACGGUUUUGCUGUCACUUAUAGAUGGAUCCGCGCCGCAUUAGCUAGUUGUUAAGGUAAAGGCUUACCAAGGCAACGAUGCGUAGCCGACCUGAGAGGGUGAUCGGCCACACUGGAACUGAGACGCGGUCCAGACUCCUACGGGAGGCAGCAGUAGGGAAUCUUCCGCAAUGGGCGAAAGCUUGACGGAGCAACGCCGCGUGAGUGAUGAAGGUCUUCGGAUCGUAAAACUCUGUUAUGAGGGAAGAACAAAUGUGUAAGUAACUAUGCACGUCUUGACGGUACCUAAUCAGAAAGCCACGGCUAACUACGUG